rnacentral:rRNA from 1 species
ACUCCUACGGGAGGCAGCAGUGGGGAAUUUUGGACAAUGGGGGCAACCCUGAUCCAGCCAUGCCGCGUGUGUGAAGAAGGCCUUCGGGUUGUAAAGCACUUUUAUCAGGAGCGAAAUACGAUGGGCUAAUACCCCGUCGGGCUGACGGUACCUGAGGAAUAAGCACCGGCUAACUUCGUGCCAGCAGCCGCGGUAAUACGAAGGGUGCAAGCGUUAAUCGGAAUUACUGGGCGUAAAGCGUGCGUAGGCGGUGAUUUAAGUCUGCUGUGAAAUCCCCGGGCUCAACCUGGGAAUGGCAGUGGAUACUGGAUCGCUAGAGUGUGAUAGAGGAUGGUGGAAUUCCCGGUGUAGCGGUGAAAUGCGUAGAGAUCGGGAGGAACAUCAGUGGCGAAGGCGGCCAUCUGGAUCAACACUGACGCUGAGGCACGAAAGCGUGGGGAGCAAACAGGAUUAGAUACCCGAGUAGUCC